rnacentral:rRNA from 1 species
AUUGAACGCUGGCGGCAGGCCUACCCCAUGCAAGUCGAGCGGAGUGGCGGCCGGGUGAGUAAUGCUUAGGAAUCUGCCUGGUAGUGGGGGAUAACGACCGCUAACGGGCGCUAAUACUGCAUACUAUCAGAUGAGCCUAGCUCGGGUUAGCUAGUUGGUGGGGUAAAGGCAUACCAAGGCGACGACCCGUAGCUGGUCUGAGAGGAUGAUCAGUCACACUGGAACUGAGACACGGUCCAGACUCCUACGGGAGGCAGCAGUGGGGAAUAUUGGACAAUGGGCGAAAGCCUGAUGCAGCCAUGCCGCGUGUAUGAAGAAGGUCUUCGGGUUGUAAAGUACUUUAAGUUGGGAGGCGUUACCAACAGAAUAAGCACCGGCUAACUCCGUGCCAGCCGCCGCGGUAAUAC